CCGACCGCGACCCCAGGUCAGG
rnacentral:rRNA from 1 species